UACGGCUCAGUAACACGUAGCUAACCUGCCCUAACGUUGGGAAUAAAGUCGGGAAACUGACCUUAAUACCCAAUAGAAGAUAAUUACUGGAAUGUAUUUUCUUCCAAGUUAGGAUGGGGCUGCGGCUGAUUAGGUUGUUGGCGGGGUAAUAGCCCACCAAGCCUUUGAUCAGUAAGGGCUCUUAGCGGAGAAGCCCUGAGAGGGAAUCUGAGACACUAUUCCCAGCCCUACGGGGUGCAGCAGUCGGGAAACUUCUGCAAUGCGCGCAAGCGUGACAGAGCAAGUCAGAGUGCUUUCCUAUAAUUGGAAAGCUUUUGUGAAAUGUAAAAAGUUUCACGAAUAAGGACUGGGUAAGACUGGUGCCAGCCGCCGCGGUAAUACCAGCAGUCCAAGUGGCAGCCACUUUUAUUGGGUCUAAAACAUCCGUAGCUUGCUUCGUAAGUCUCUUGUGAAAUCUGGAGUCUCAAGUUCCAGGCGUGCAAGAGAUACUGCGAGGCUAGAGACCGGGAGGCGUAAGGAGUACGGUUAGGGUAGCGGUCAAAUGUGUUGAUCCUUUCUGGACUAACGAUAGCGAAGGCACCUUACGAGAACGGAUCUGACAGUCAGGGAUGAAGGCCAGGGUCGCAAAACGGAUUAGAUACCCGUGUAGUCCUGGCAGUAAACACUGCACACUAAACAUCAGUAUCUCCUCGAGAGGUAUUGGUGCCGAAGGGAAGCCGUAGAGUGUGCUACCUGGGAAGUAUAGUCGCAAGGCCGAAACUUAAAGGAAUUGGCGGA
rnacentral:rRNA from 1 species